rnacentral:rRNA from 1 species
UACGGAGGAUGCAAGCGUUAUCCGGAAUGAUUGGGCGUAAAGCGUCCGCAGGUGGCUGUGUAAGUCUGCUGUCAAAGAGCAAAGCUCAACUUUGUAAAGGCAGUGGAAACUACGCGGCUAGAGUGCGUUCGGGGCAGAGGGAAUUCCUGGUGUAGCGGUGAAAUGCGUAGAGAUCAGGAAGAACACCGGUGGCGAAGGCGCUCUGCUAGGCCGCAACUGACACUGAGGGACGAAAGCUAGGGGAGCGAAUGGG